AAAGAUGAAACAUCAAGAAAAAGAAAGAGAAGGAAAAAAGAAGGAAACAACCAGAUGGUAUCACCGUUACAAGAGGGUCUGAAACCAGGCUAAACUUUUGAUUUCCAAAACUCAGCCUUUUGGUUUAAGGUGGCCAAAUGAGGAUGCAGAGCCCAGCAUUGUGAAACCACAGAAACACUAAAGAGCUGGGGCAUGGAUGUCUUUCACACCACUUCUAGACUCCUGAGAACAGUCUUCACAUCCUCUGUAACCAGGCAAUAAAGAGUUGGGAAGUCACA